CCUAGUGACCGAUAGUGAACCAGUACCGUGAGGGAAAGGUGAAAAGCACCCCGGGAGGGGAGUGAAAUAGAACCUGAAACCGUGUGCCUACAACAAGUUCGAGCCCGUUAAUGGGUGAGAGCGUGCCUUUUGUAGAAUGAACCGGCGAGUUACGAUAUGAUGCGAGGUUAAGUUGAAGAGACGGAGCCGUAGGGAAACCGAGUCUGAAUAGGGCGCAUUAGUAUCAUGUCGUAGACCCGAAACCAUGUGACCUACCCAUGAGCAGGUUGAAGGUGAGGUAAAACUCACUGGAGGACCGAACCAGGGCACGUUGAAAAGUGCUUGGAUGACUUGUGGGUAGCGGAGAAAUUCCAAACGAACUUGGAGAUAGCUGGUUCUCUCCGAAAUAGCUUUAGGGCUAGCCUCGUGGAGAGGAUAAUGGAGGUAGAGCUCUGUUUGGACUAGGGGCCCGUCAGGGGUUACUGAAUCCAGAUAAACUACGAAUUCCAGAUAUCCAUACACGGGAGUCAGACUGCGAGUGAUAAGAUCCGUAGUCGAAAGGGAAACAGCCCAGAUCACCAGUUAAGGUCCCCAAAUCUAUGCUAAGUGGAAAAGGAUGUGGAGUUGCGUAGACAACUAGGACGUUGGCUCAGAAGCAGCCAUCAUUCAAAGAGUGCGUAAUAGCUCACUAGUCGAGUGGCGCUGCGCCGAAAAUUUACCGGGGCUAAGCAUAGUACCGAAACUGUGGAUGUGUUUUAAAGAGCACGUGGUAGGAGAGCGUUCUAAGAGCGGAGAAGUUGAAUCGAGAGGAUCAAUGGAGCGCUUAGAAGUGAGAAUGCCGGUAUGAGUAGCGAAAGAUAGGUGAGAAUCCUAUCCGCCGAAAGACUAAGGUUUCCUGGGGCAGGCUCGUCCGCCCAGGGUAAGUCGGGACCUAAGGCAAGGCCGAGAGGCGUAGUCGAUGGAUAACAGGUAGAGAUUCCUGUACUGUGUCAAAUCGUUAAGAGCGAAGGAGGGACGCAGGAGGUGAAGCACGCAUCGCAUGGAACGAUGUUCAAGCAACAAGUGCGGUUAAGAGUCAAAUGCUUCUAACCAGCAACACGAGUUGUGAAGAGGAGUGAAUUAAAAGUAGCGAAGGUGUGGUAAUCACACUGCCAAGAAAAGCUUCUAGCCAGAGAUGACAUACCCGUACCGCAAACCGACACAGGUAGUCGAGUGGAGAACACUAAGGUGAGCGAGAGAACUCUCGUUAAGGAACUCGGCAAAAUGACCCCGUAACUUCGGAAGAAGGGGUGCUAGCCAAGAGAUUGGUUAGCCGCAGUGAAUAGGCCCAAACAACUGUUUAUCAAAAACACAGGUCUCUGCAAAAUCGUAAGAUGACGUAUAGAGGCUGACACCUGCCCGGUGCUGGAAGGUUAAGAGGAGAGCUUAGCGUAAGCGAAGGUUUGAAUUGAAGCCCCAGUAAACGGCGGCCGUAACUAUAACGGUCCUAAGGUAGCGAAAUUCCUUGUCGGGUAAGUUCCGACCUGCACGAAAGGUGUAAUGAUUUGGGCACUGUCUCAACGAGAGACUCGGUGAAAUUAUAAUACCCGUGAAGAUGCGGGUUACCCGCGACAGGACGGAAAGACCCCAUGGAGCUUCACUGUAGCUUGAUAUUGAGUAUCUUUUAAACAUGUACAGGAUAGGUAGGAGCCAGAGAAGAUAGGACGCUAGUCUUAUUGGAGGCAAUGUUGGGAUACUACCCUUGUUUGAAGGAUGCUCUAACCUCGACCUGUAAGCCAGGCCAGGGACAGUGUCAGGUGGGCAGUUUGACUGGGGCGGUCGCCUCCUAAAGUGUAACGGAGGCGCUCAAAGGUUCCCUCAGAAUGGUUGGAAAUCAUUCGCAGAGUGUAAAGGUAUAAGGGAGCUUGACUGCGAGAGAGACAACUCGAGCAGGUAGGAAACUAGGACUUAGUGAUCUGGUGGUACCGUAUGGAAGGGCCAUCACUCAACGGAUAAAAGCUACCCUGGGGAUAACAGGCUUAUCUCCCCCAAGAGUUCA
rnacentral:rRNA from 1 species